CUGACCUCAAAUCAGGUAGGACUACCCGCUGAACUUAAGCAUAUCAAUAAGCGGAGGAAAAGAAACUAACAAGGAUUCCCCUAGUAGCGGCGAGCGAAGCGGGAAUCACUAGUGAAUUC
rnacentral:rRNA from 1 species